ACCCCAGGUCAGCGGG
rnacentral:rRNA from 1 species